rnacentral:tRNA from 1 species
UGGGGUUUUGGCUCAGCGGUAGAGCGCUCACCUAGCAAGUGCGAGACUCUGGGUUAGAUCCUCAGCACCACAU